rnacentral:misc_RNA from 1 species
GUGGAGGGUAUCCCUUGGGCUAUUAGCAAUCAGUUGCUUAUCUUGAAAGAUUGGGAUCCUACAUUGAAGGUGGAGGAUAUAGAUUUCUCGAUAUGUCCUUUCUGGGUUCAAGUUCAGGGUCUCCCUUUGAAUCAGAUGACGAAGGAAAAUGCUCACCAUAUUAGGCAAAUCUUCCAUAGGUUGAUUGAUAUCAAUUGUGCAGCAGACGUGGAUGUAUCAGUGGGUCCCUAUAUUAGAGUUGAAUUA